rnacentral:rRNA from 1 species
UACAGAGGGUGCAAGCGUUGUUCGGAAUUACUGGGCGUAAAGGGCCAGUAGGCGGCCAACUAAGUCGGAUGUGAAAUCCCCAGGCUUAACCUGGGAACUGCAUCCGAUACUGGAUGGCUUGAAUUCGGGAGAGGGAUGCAGAAUUCCUGGUGUAGCGGUGAAAUGCGCAGAUAUCAGGAAGAACACCCGUGGCGAAGGCGGUUCUCUGGGACGGUACUGACGCUGAGACGCGAAAGCGUGGGGAGCGAACAGG